UACGAAGGGGGCUAGCGUUGUUCGGAAUUACUGGGCGUAAAGGGCGCGUAGGCGGCGCAUUAAGUCAGGUGUGAAAGCCCUGGGCUCAACCCAGGAAUUGCACUUGAUACUGAUGUGCUUGAAUCCGGAAGAGGAUGACGGAAUUCCGAGUGUAGAGGUGAAAUUCAUUGAUAUUGGGAAGAACACCAGUGGCGAAGGCGGUCAUCUGGUCCGGUAUUGACGCUGAGGCGCGAAAGCGUGGGAGCAAACAGG
rnacentral:misc_RNA from 1 species